GACGAACGCUGGCGGCGUGCUUAACACAUGCAAGUCGAGCGGUAAGGCCCUUUCGGGGGUACACGAGCGGCGAACGGGUGAGUAACACGUGGGUGACCUGCCCUCAGCUCUGGGAUAAGCCUGGGAAACCGUGUCUAAUACCGGAUAUGACUCCAUGACGCAUGUUGUGGGGUGGAAAGCCUUGUGCGGCUGAGGAUGGGCCCGCGGCCUAUCAGCUUGUUGGU
rnacentral:rRNA from 1 species